rnacentral:misc_RNA from 1 species
UACGUGUGGACCAAGCGUUGUUCGGAAUUACUGGGCUUAAAGGGAGCGUAGGCGGCCCGGCAAGUCAGGGGUGAAAGCCGAUGGCCCAACCGUCGGAUUGCCUCUGAUACUGCUGGGCUUGAGUGUGCGAGGGGGAAGCGGAACGUGUGGUGUAGCGGUGAAAUGCGUAGAUAUCACACGGAAGGCCGGAGCCGAAGGGGGCUUCCUGGUGCACAACUGACGCUGAGGCUCGAAAGCGUGGGGAGCAAACAGG